rnacentral:piRNA from 1 species
UCAGGAAAUCAAAACUCCUUUGAGUGGCC